UAUAAGUAUUUACUAGAGAAGCUUAUAUUUAUAGUUGAUAACCUUAUUUGUAAAAGGUUUAAAAAAAAUAACCAAAUAAAAUAUAGGGCGGGUUUUGUGCCAUGCAAAUAUGUGGGGUACGGCCUCCUGAGUAUGGUAAGCCCCGCCUCCGUAGUUCAAAAGGCCGGAUUCUCAUUUGGACCCUUAUAGCAGUAAAUGAUUUUCGCGAGGACAUCUCUUUUCUCUCGGUUAUAUUAAAGAGGCCUUGGUUUAUUUUUUCAAACAAUGGACUCAGGACUCACCGGUAAGUUAUUUUGCUUUUAUAUGUUUAUUUAUCAAGUUUUGAUUUACCAAGUUAUCUUCAUUUGUAAAAACAGUCUUAUUUUAUUUUAACAUUUAACAGGCUUUUAAAUGUAUAUGUAUACGAUGCAGGAAUUUUUAAAAAGCAGCCCACAUACCAUCAUUUUGACCAGAUCGACCAACUUUGUAAGUGUUUUAAGUAUAUUUGCAAGGAAUUUCCUGAAUGAUUAUAUAAAUACAUUUAUAUAUUAUAUAUGUAUAUUUUAUUCUACACAUUUUAUUCCAAAUUAGUGAAUUCUACUUUGAUAAAUGUUGAAGAGCAAAGCGACACUAGGAACGGCGAUCUACAAGUAAAUGCCCCCACAAUAAAUGAGGGUUCUCAAGGCGUUAAUGAGGGCUGCGAACUGCAAGAUGCAGCAUUACUAGUUACACAGCCAGGGUUUGUAACACAGAAUACCUCUACAAAAUCUUCAAGACUUAGUCUUAGUCGGAAACGAAAGCAGUCCCGUUCUAUUACCCAUGAUAAAAGGGC